rnacentral:tRNA from 1 species
GGAGAAGUGGCCGAGUGGCUGAAGGCGCACGCUUGGAAAGCGUGUAAACCCCAAAAGGGUUUCGAGGGUUCGAAUCCCUCCUUCUCCG